rnacentral:rRNA from 1 species
UACAGAGGGUGCAAGCGUUGCUCGGAUUGACUGGGCGUAAAGGGCGCGUAGGCGGUUCGUACAGUCAGACGUGAAAUUCCUGGGCUCAACCUGGGGGCUGCGUUUGAUACGUGCGGACUUGAGUGCGGAAGAGGGUCGUGGAAUUCCCAGUGUAGAGGUGAAAUUCGUAGAUAUUGGGAAGAACACCGGUGGCGAAGGCGGCGACCUGGUCCGAUACUGACGCUGAGGCGCGAAAGCGUGGGGAGCAAACAGG